URCACCUGGUCAGUCUACGUCAUGGAAAGAGCAUUUGUUCUUAAUGUUUUGUACACUCAGUGUAUCUGUGUUAGUAUCAUGUCCCACAUGGUGUCACCCCAACAUAGCAUCAGGCACAGCCAGAUAAUUGAUGCUUUGUCACUUGGAGCUUCAUGAUGCAGCCCCUGAUGAUGCAGCCCCUGAUGAUGCAGUCCCUGAUGAUGCAGUCCCUGAUGAUGCAGUCCCUGAUGAUGCAGUCCCUGAUGAUGCAGUCCCUGAUGUAAAAUUUCAAUUCUUAGGAAAUCAUUUGGAAUGAAAAAUAAAAUCUCUGAAACAAAGAA